rnacentral:miRNA from 1 species
UGUAUGUAUGUGUGUGUGUAUGCAUGCGUGCAUGUAUGUAUAUAUGUACGUUGGUAUGUAU